rnacentral:rRNA from 1 species
GACGAAAGCUACGCUAAUACCGCAUACGAUCUACGGAUGAAAGCGGGGGAUCGCAAGACCUCGCGCGAUUGGAGCGGCCGAUAUCAGAUUAGGUAGUUGGUGAGGUAAAGGCUCACCAAGCCGACGAUCUGUAGCUGGUCUGAGAGGACGACCAGCCACACUGGGACUGAGACACGGCCCAGACUCCUACGGGAGGCAGCAGGUGGGGAAUUUUGGACAAUGGGCGCAAGCCUGAUCCAGCAAUGCCGCGUGCAGGAUGAAGGCCUUCGGGUUGUAAACUGCUUUUGUACGGAACGAAACGGUGAGCUCUAAUACAGUUUGCUAAUGACGGUACCGUAAGAAUAAGCACCGGCUAACUACGUG